UUUCGCAAUGCCCGAAAGGGUGACGAAGCGAUGUCGCGUGUGGGAAGAAGGCCUUCGGGUUGUAAACCACUGUCGGGAGUUAGGAAAUGCAGGUGCGUUAAUAGCGCACUUGCUUGACUAAGGCUCCAGAGGAAGCCACGGCUAACUCUGUGCCAGCAGCCGCGGUAAUACAGAGGCGGCAAGCGUUGUUCGGAAUUAUUGGGCGUAAAGAGCACGUAGGCGGCCUUGCAAGUCAGUUGUGAAAGCCUUCCGCUUAACGGAAGAACGGCAUCUGAUACUACAGGGCUUGAGUACGGGAGGGGAGAGUGGAACUUCUGGUGGAGCGGUGAAAUGCGUAGAUAUCAGAAGGAACGCCGGCGGCGAAAGCGACUCUCUGGUCCGAAACUGACGCUGAUUGUGCGAAAGCUAGGGGAGCAAACGGGAUUAGAUACCCCGGUAGUCCUAGCCGUAAACGAUGGGCACUAAGUAGAGGGGUUUU
rnacentral:rRNA from 1 species